rnacentral:lncRNA from 1 species
AACCCAACUGAACAUCUUUUCUUUUUUAUUUCCCCUUUGUUUACACAAAACAACAUAAGAUGAAACAAACUAACAACCCUUCUUCCUGUUGAAAAUGAAACCUCGAAUCAGCUUCCAAAGGCAACCAUAAAGGGGGAGAGACGAGUUUUGUGUUGAACCGGAUGCAGUGGAUUUGGCUAAUCGAAGAGACGUUACAGUUUUCAGUUUUAGGGUUUGAGAAGCUUACAGCCGGAGGAUUAGUCUCUUGUUGUUCUUAAACAGCAACUAAAGCAGCCCAUCCAUACACUGAAUCUUCUUCAAAACCAGAGAGCCACCAUCACCGUCAUUCCUCUCAUUUUUCCCAUUCCUAUUUCCUAAGACAAGCUCUGCAAGAAUCAACCUUUUCCCAACAACAACCGCAAAAACACAACCACCCUCACUCUGCAUUUCACCUUCCUUCAUUGAGUUCAUUCUCAAUUUCUGAAACAAUCCUAACCCUGAAUCUAGCCCCGAACCCAAACCCAAACCCCAACUCUCGGAUGCGCUGUUCCUAAACCUCCUCCUCAUGACCAAAAGAUACUCCAUUCGAGAACGACAUCGUUCGGGGCGUCGUCAUCGUUGUCGGUGUCUGCUGAUAGGGAAAAGAGGGUUCCAGAGUUAAUGUCUCAACCUUUGAGUUUACAGCGGAAGUGAAUUAGGCAGUGGAGGAGUCUGGAAACAAAUUCCCUUUAAUUAGGAAUAAAU